UUAACUGCCGAAAUUAAUAAAUUAACGAUUGUUUUCGAUCAAAACAUCGCCACCUCUUUUUGCACCACAUUGAUUUGACAGUUUGACGGUUUGACAUUGCGCACGAUUGUUGUUGUGUUUGGUGCAAUUUGAUUGUCGCCGAAAAGUCGGUCUAAUGGGAGAAUGCAUUCUCCCGGUGGUGGCGGUCCAUCGUAAGAUCACUCCGGUGGACAUUCCGGCGGCGAAGAAGGCUGGUUCUACAACCACAACCAAGGUGGAUGCCACAAAAAUCGCAACGGAGUUGGCGGUGGUGGACACCCGGAUCAGCAGCAGGAGAUGUUUCUCCAGGAUCAAUUGCCACCCAAAGAGUUUCCGAGAAGGAGGUCAGCCAUCCUGUCGGCAAACCUGGUUCGAUGAUCACUUUAACGAUGAUGUUCCGCAGCAGCAGCACCACCACCACUACCAGUAAAGGAGGGGUAACUGGAACAAUGGUCCUCGGGUGGUCCUAGAAUUUUCGUGAUAACCGUCAGCCGACGAACGACCCUAACGGUCAACGGGGUCGGAUGUGGAAGAGGUCAAUCUGCUCCGAAAACGCGUCAACGAGCCGAACGACCUUCUGCUGGACGAGUGCUGCAUCCUCCCGAACCGGGUGCGCAUCCCCCAGUUGCAGUCAGACAUCGGGAACGAAACGUUCAAGUUAAGUCUGGAGAUUCUGAAUAUCGAGAAUAAUGUUUUAACAAUUGAGCAGAAAGCCGCUAGUGUUGCCGGUGCGGACCGUGCCCGAUCGGCGAUACAAGAAACGUCCGCCGAGCCCGAUUCAUUCGAGAGUAGGAUUUGGCCAGGUCAUCUCAGAAUUUGAGUUCACCAAGAAGGCCACCUUCAUCCACUCGCAAUAAAGAGACAAAUGGUCCAAAUCAGGCCGCUUUAAUGGUGAGCGACACAUCUAGCUCAAAUCCCAGCAGCGUGACUGCGUUUCUGCAUCUUUGCCGUCCCGGGAACCGUCAGCGGGAAUCAACAACGAAUUCAUCUGUAAAUAGUGACAACCUCCUUCCAGUCCGCCGGAACGUUGAACUCCGUCGGAUCGUCGCUUGAAGAAGCGGAUAUGUGGUGGCGAGAUUCGACAAGUUAUUUUUUAAAUUUCAAAUAAAGGUCAGAUUGACCAGGAGCUGAAAGCGAACCCCGUGAAAGGCCGUCCAGAACGUCUAAACCCGAUUGGUCAGAAUAUGGUGAAUGAAAUUGCUUUGAAAUAUAAACUAGGGUUUAAAA